AGAAUCAACGCUGGCGGCGUGCCUAACACAUGCAAGUCGCACGAGAAAGGGGAGCAAUCCCUGAGUACAGUGGCGCACGGGUGAGUAACACGUGAAUCAUCUACCUCCGAGUGGGGAAUAACUGAGAGAAAUCUUAGCUAAUACCGCAUAAUACCCACGGGUCAAAGCAGCAAUGCGCUUGGAGAGGAGUUCGCGGCAGAUUAGUUAGUUGGCGGGGUAAUGGCCACCAAGACGAUGAUCUGUA
rnacentral:rRNA from 1 species